UUAGGGUUAGGGGUUAGGGUUAGAUUUAGGGUUAGGGUUAGGGUUAUGGUUGAGGCUAGGGUUAGGGUUAGGGUUAGGGUUAUAGUUGAGGCUAGGGUUAGGGUUAGGGUUAUGGUUGAGGCUAGGGUUAGGGUUAGGGUUGAGGCUAGGGUUAGGGUUAGGGUUAGGGUUAUGGUUGAGGCUAGGGUUAGGGUUAGGGUUAUGGUUGAGGCUAGGGUUAGGGUUAGGGUUGAGGCUAGGGUUAGGGUUAGGGUUAGGGUUAUGGUUGAGGCUAGGGUUAGGGUUAGGGUUAUGGUUGAGGCUAGGGUUAGGGUUAGGGUUAGGGUUAUGGUUGAGGCUAGGGUUAGGGUUAGGGUUAGGGUUGAGGCUAGGGUUAGGGUUAGGGUUAGGGUUAUGGUUGAGGCUAGGGUUAGGGUUAGGGUUAGGGUUAUGGUUGAGGCUAUGGUUAGGGUUAGGGUUGAGACUAGGGUUAGGGUUAGGGUUAUAGUUGAGGCUAGGGUUAGGGUUAGGGUUAGGGUUAGGGUUAUGGUUGAGGCUAGGGUUAGGGUUAGGGUUAUAGUUGAGGCUAGGGUUAGGGUUAGGGUUAUGGUUGAGGCUAGGGUUAGGGUUAGGGUUAGGGUUAUGGUUGAGGCUAGGGUUAGGGUUAGGGUUAGGGUUAUGGUUGAGGCUAGGGUUAGGGUUAGGGUUGAGGACUAGGGUUAGGGUUAGGGUUAUGGUUGAGGCUAGGGUUAGGGUUAGGGUUAGGGUUAGGGUUAUGGUUGAGGCUAGGGUUAGGGUUAGGGUUAGGGUUGAGGCUAAGGUUAGGGUUAGGGUUAGGGUUGAGACUAGGGUUAGGGUUAGGGUUAUGGUUGAGGCUAGGGUUAGGGUUAGGGUUAGGGUUAUGGUUGAGGCUAGGGUUAGGGUUAGGGUUAUGGUUGAGGCUAGGGUUAGGGUUAGGGUUAGGGUUGAGGCUAGGGUUAGGGUUAGGGUUAUGGUUGAGGCUAGGGUUAGGGUUAGGGUUAGGGUUGAGACUAGGGUUAGGGUUAGGGUUAGGGUUAUAGUUGAGGCUAGGGUUAGGGUUAGGGUUAUGGUUGAGGCUAGGGUUAGGGUUAGGGUUGAGGCUAGGGUUAGGGUUAGGGUUAGGGUUAUGGUUGAGGCUAGGGUUAGGGUUAGGGUUAGGGUUGAGGCUAGGGUUAGGGUUAGGGUUAUGGUUGAGGCUAGGGUUAGGGUUAGGGUUAUGGUUGAGGCUAGGGUUAGGGUUAGGGUUGAGGGUAGAGGCUAGGGUUAGGGUUAGGGUUAGGGUUAGGGUUAGGGUUAUGGUUGAGGCUAGGGUUAGGGUUAGGGUUAUGGUUGAGGCUAGGGUUAGGGUUAGGGUUAGGGUUAUAGUUGAGGCUAGGGUUAGGGUUAGGGUUAUGGUUGAGGCUAGGGUUAGGGUUAGGGUUAGGGUUAUGGUUGAGGCUAGGGUUAGGGUUAGGUUUAGGGUUAGGGUUAUGGUUGAGGCUAUGGUUAGGGUUAGGGUUGAGACUAGGGUUAGGGUUAGGGUUGAGACUAGGGUUAGGGUUAGGGUUAUAGUUGAGGCUAGGGUUAGGGUUAGGGUUAGGGUUAGGGUUAUGGUUGAGGCUAGGGUUAGGGUUAGGGUUAGGGUUGAGGCUAAGGUUAGGGUUAGGGUUAUGGUUGAGACUAGGGUUAGGGUUAGGGUUAUAGUUGAGGCUAGGGUUAGGGUUAGGGUUAUGGUUUAGGCUAGGGUUAGGGUUAUGGUUGAGGCUAGGGUUAGGGUUAGGGUUAGGGUUGAGGCUAGGGUUAGGGUUAGGGUUAUGGUUGAGGCUAGGGUUAGGGUUAGGGUUAGGGUUGAGACUAGGGUUAGGGUUAGGGUUAGGGUUAGGGUUGAGGCUAAGGUUAGGGUUAGGGUUAUGGUUGAGGCUAGGGUUAGGGUUAGGGUUGAGGCUAGGGUUAGGGUUAGGGUUAGGGAUAUGGUUGAGGCUAGGGUUAGGGUUAGGGUUGAGGCUAGGGUUAGGGUUAGGGUUAUGGUUGAGGCUAGGGUUAGGGUUAGGGUUAUGGUUGAGGCUAGGGUUAGGGUUAGGGUUAGGGUUGAGGCUAGGGUUAGGGUUAGGGUUAGGGUUAUGGUUGAGGCUAGGGUUAGGGUUAGGGUUAGGGUGGUUAGGGCUAGGGUUAGGGUUAGGGUUAGGGUUAUGGUUGAGGCUAGGGUUAGGGUUAGGGUUAGGGUUAUGGUUGAGGCUAGGGUUAGGGUUAGGGUUAUGGUUGAGGCUAUGGUUAGGGUUAGGGUUGAGACUAGGGUUAGGGUUAGGGUUGAGACUAGGGUUAGGGUUAGGGUUAUAGUUGAGGCUAGGGUUAGGGUUAGGGUUAGGGUUAGGGUUAGGGUUAUGGUUGAGGCUAGGGUUAGGGUUAGGGUUGAGGCUAAGGUUAGGGUUAGGGUUAGGGUUGAGACUAGGGUUAGGGUUAGGGUUAUAGUUGAGGCUAGGGUUAGGGUUAGGGUUAUGGUUGAGGCUAGGGUUAGGGUUAGGGUUAUGGUUGAGGCUAGGGUUAGGGUUAGGGUUAGGGUUAGGGUUGAGGCUAGGGUUAGGGUUAGGGUUAGGGUUAUGGUUGAGGCUAGGGUUAGGGUUAGGGUUGAGACUAGGGUUAGGGUUAGGGUAAGGGUUGAGACUAGGGUUAGGGUUAGGGUUAGGGUUAAAGUUGAGGCUAGGGUUAGGGUUAGGGUUAUGGUUGAGGCUAGGGUUAGGGUUAGGGUUGAGGCUAGGGUUAGGGUUAGGGUUAUGGUUGAGGCUAGGGUUAGGGUUAGGGUUGAGGCUAAGGUUAGGUUUAGGGUUUUGGUUGAGGCUAGGGUUAGGGUUAGGGUUAGGGUUAGGGUUAUGGUUGAGGCUAGGGUUAGGGUUAGGGUUAUGGUUGAGGCUAGGGUUAGGGUUAGGGUUAGGGUUAGGGUUGAGGCUAGGGUUAGGGUUAGGGUUAUGGUUGAGGCUAGGGUUAGGGUUAGGGUUAUGGUUGAGGCUAGGGUUAGGGUUAGGGUUAUGGUUGAGGCUAGGGUUAGGGUUAGGGUUAGGGUUGAGGCUAGGGUUAGGGUUAGGGUUGAGGCUAGGGUUAGGGUUAGGGUUAGGGUUAGGGUUAUAGUUGAGGCUAGGGUUAGGGUUAGGGUUAGGGUUAGGGUUAUGGUUGAGGCUAGGGUUAGGGUUAGGGUUGAGGCUAAGGUUAGGGUUAGGGUUAGGGUUGAGACUAGGGUUAGGGUUAGGGUUAUAGUUGAGGCUAGGGUUAGGGUUAGGGUUAUGGUUGAGGCUAGGGUUAGGGUUAGGGUUAUGGUUGAGGCUAGGGUUAGGGUUAGGGUUAGGGUUAGGGUUGAGGCUAGGGUUAGGGUUAUGGUUGAGGCUAGGGUUAGGGUUAGGGUUAGGGUUGAGACUAGGGUUAGGGUUAGGGUUAAAGUUGAGGCUAGGGUUAGGGUUAGGGUUAUGGUUGAGGCUAGGGUUAGGGUUAGGGUUGAGGCUAGGGUUAGGGUUAGGCUUAGGGUUAUGGUUGAGGCUAGGGUUAGGGUUAGGGUUGAGACUAGGGUUAGGGUUAGGGUUGAGACUAGGGUUAGGGUUAGGGUUAGGGUUAAAGUUGAGGCUAGGGUUAGGGUUAGGGUUAUGGUUGAGGCUAGGGUUAGGGUUAGGGUUGAGUCUAGGGUUAGGGUUAGGGUUAUGGUUGAGGCUAGGGUUAGGGUUAGGGUUAGGGUUGAGGCUAGGGUUAGGGUUAGGGUUAUAGUUGAGGCUAGGGUUAGGGUUAGGUUUAGGGUUUUGGUUGAGGCUAGGGUUAGGGUUAGGGUUAGGGUUAUGGUUGAGGCUAGGGUUAGGGUUAGGGUUAUGGUUGAGGCUAGGGUUAGGGUUAGAGUUAGGGUUAGGGUUGAGGCUAGGGUUAGGGUUAGGGUUAUGGUUGAGGCUAGGGUUAGGGUUAGGGUUAGGGUUAUGGUUGAGGCUAGGGUUAGGGUUAGGGUUAGGGUUAUGGUUGAGGCUAGGGUUAGGGUUAGGGUUGAGGCUAGGGUUAGGGUUAGGGUUGAGGCUAGGGUUAGGGUUAGGGUUAUAGUUGAGGCUAGGGUUAGGGUUAGGGUUAGGGUUAGGGUUAGGGUUAUGGUUGAGGCUAGGGUUAGGGUUAGGGUUGAGGCUAAGGUUAGGGUUAGGGUUGAGGCUAGGGUUAGGGUUAUAGUUGAGGCUAGGGUUAGGGUUAGGGUUAUGGUUGAGGCUAGGGUUAGGGUUAGGGUUAUGGUUGAGGCUAGGGUUAGGGUUAGGGUUAGGGUUAGGGUUGAGGCUAGGGUUAGGGUUAUGGUUGAGGCUAGGGUUAGGGUUAGGGUUGAGACUAGGGUUAGGGUUAGGGUUAGGGUUAAAGUUGAGGCUAGGGUUAGGGUUAGGGUUAUGGUUGAGGCUAGGGUUAGGGUUAGGGUUGAGGCUAGGGUUAGGGUUAGGGUUAGGGUUAUGGUUAUGGUUGAGGCUAGGGUUAGGGUUAGGGUUAUGGUUGAGGCUAGGGUUAGGGUUAGGGUUAGGGUUGAGGCUAGGGUUAGGGUUAGGGUUAGGGUUGAGGCUAGGGUUAGGGUUAGGGUUAUAGUUGAGGCUAGGGUUAGGGUUAUUGUUGAGGCUAGGGUUAGGGUUAGGCUUAUGGUUGAGGCCAGGGUUAGGGUUAGGGUUAGGGUUGAGGCUAGGGUUAGGGCUAGGGUUAGGGUCAGGGUUAUGGUUGAGGCUAGGGUUCGGGUUAGGGUUAGGGUUAUGGUUGAGGCUAGUGUUAGGGUUAUGGUUGAGGCUAGGGUUAGGGUUAGGGUUAUGUUUGAGGCUAGGGUUAGGGUUAUGGUUGAGGCUAGGGUUAGGGUUAGGGUUAUGUUUGAGGCUAGGGUUAGGGUUAGGUUUAUGGUUGAGGCUAGGGUUAGGGUUAGGGUUAGGGUUAUGGUUGAGGCUAGGGUUAGGGUUAGGGUUAGGGUUGAGGCUAGGGUUAGGGUUAGGGUUAUGGUUUGGGCUAGGGUUAGGGUUGAGGCUAGGGUAAGGGUUAGGGUUAAGGUUAGGGUUAUGGUUGAGGCUAGGGUUAGGGUUAGGGUUAUAGUUGAGGCAAGGGUUAGGGUUAGGGUUAUGGUUGAGGCUAGGGUUAGGGUUAGGGUUAGGGUUAUGGUUGAGGCUAGGGUUAGGGUUAGGGUUAUGGUUGAGGCUAGGGUUAGGGUUAGGGUUAUGGUUGAGGCUAGGGUUAGGGUUAGGGUUAGGGUUGAGGAAUGGGUUAGGGUUAGGGUUAUGGUUGAGGCUAGGGUUAGGGUUAGGGUUAGGGGUAUGGUUGAGGCUAGGGUUAGGGUUAGGGUUAUAGUUGAGGUUAGGGUUAGGGUUAGGGUUAUGGUUGAGGCUAGGGUUAGGGUUAGGGUUAGGGUUAUGGUUGAGGUUAGGGUUAGGGUUAUGGUUGAAGCUAGCGUUAGGGUUAGGGUUGAGGCUAGGGUUAGGGUUAGGGUUGAGGCUAGGGUUAGGGUUAGGGUUUAGGCUAGGGUUAGGGUUAGGGUUAUGGUUGAGGCUAGGGUUAGGGUUAGGGUUAGGGUUAUGGUUGAGGCUAGGGUUAGGGUUAGGGUUAUUGAGGCUAGGGUUAGGGUUAGGGUUAGGGUUAGGGUUAUGGUUGAGGCUAGGGUUAGGGUUAGGGUAAGGGUUAGGGUUGAGGCUAGGGUUAGGGUUAUGGUUAGGGUUAUGGUUAGGGUUAUGGUUGAGGCUAGGGUUAGGGUUAUAGUUGAGGCUAGGGUUAGGGUUAGGGUUAUGGUUGAGGCUAGGGUUAGGGUAAGGGUUAGGGUUGAGGCUAGGGUUAGGGUUAGGGUUAGGGUUAGGGUUAUGGUUGAGGCUAGGGUUAGGGUUAGGGUUAUACUUGAGGCUAGGGUUAGGGUUAGGGUUAUGGUUGAGGCUAGGGUUAGGUUUAGGGUUAGGGUUGAGGCUAGGGUUAGGGUUAGGGUUAGGGUUAGGGUUAUGGUUGAGGCUAGGGUUAGGGUUAGGGUUAUACUUGAGGCUAGGGUUAGGGUUAGGGUUAUGGUUGAGGCUAGGGUUAGGGUUAGGGUUAGGGUUGAGGGUUAGGGUUAGGGUUGAGGCUAGGGUUAGGGUUAGGGUUAUAGUUGAGGCUAGGGUUAGGGUUAGGGUUAUGGUUAAGGCUAGGGUUAGGGUUAGGGUUAUUGUUGAGGCUAGGGUUAGGGUUAGGCUUAUGGUUGAGGCUAGGGUUAGGGUUAGGGUUAGGGUUGAGGCUAGGGUUAGGGCUAGGGUUAGGGUCAGGGUUAUGGUUGAGGUUAGGGUUCGGGUUAGGGUUAGGGUUAUGGUUGAGGCUAGGGUUAGGGUUAUGGUUGAGGCUAGGGUUAGGGUUAGGGUUAUGUUUGAGGCUAGGGUUAGGGUUAGGGUUAUGGUUGAGGCUAGGGUUAGGGUUACAGUUGUGGUUGAAGCUAAGGUUAGGGUUAGGGUUAUGGUUGAGGCUAGGGUUAGGGUUAGGGUUAGGGUUGAUGCUCGUUUUAGGGUUAGGAUUCUGGUUGAGGCUAGGGUUAGGGUUAGGGUUAGGGUUAUGGUUGAGGCUAGGGUUAGGGUUAGGUUUAUGUGUGGGUAAGAGAUACAGUGAUAGCCCCCGCUUUCGUCUGUUUACUUGGCGGUUUGGGGUAGGCUAAUCAAGGGCUUGCACUGGCCGGCGCAUGUCGACCUGUCACAUGUUCCCAGUCGAGUCUCCGAGCUCAAUCUGUGUGUAAAAAUUAUAAAAAGAGGGUGGGGUGAUUAAGUUAAGAUAGAGGUUAAUAAGGUUAGGGUUAGGGUUAGGGGUCAGGGUUAGAUUUAGGAUUUAGAGGUUAGGGUUAGGGUUAGGGUUAGAUUUAGGGUUUAGGGGUUAGGGUUAGGGUUAGGGUAAGGGUUAGGGUUAGAUUUAGGGCUUAGAGGUUAGGGUUAGGGUAAGGGUUAGGGUUAGAUUUAGGGGUUAGGGUAAGGGUUAGGGGUUAGGGGUAGAUUUAGGGUUUAGAGGUUAGGGUCAGGGUUGGGGUUCGGGGUUAGGGUUUGAUUUAGGUUCUAGAGGUUAGGGUUAGGGUGAGGGUGAUGGUUAGGGUUAGUGCCUGUAGGGAGCUAACCAUGGCUAUUUGGAAGAAUUGAAAUUCAUCAAGGAAUAUGACACUUCAGAUUGUCUAGACUCAGGACCCUUUGCUCUGUUAAAGGUAGCAAAGCUAUGGUUGAAAGUAAUGAAAAUGCAGUAUAAAAUAUAUAAGGUUAGUUACAAAUUGUUAUUGAUAAAGUAUUAUUUCAGAGUCAAAAGUGGAUGGUCCUGUCUAGAACUCUCUUCCACUCAGGCCUGUGUAGGCCAAAGACUCUGCGGGUUAGGAUUAGGGUUAGGGUUCAGGUUAGGCCUAGGAGAUGCAGAAGUGCAAUAAUGCUCUGUAAUGUUCUGUUCGAUGUACAGAGCUGACAGCCCACAUUUGGCUUGAGCGUGUGAUGAUGUUUCCAGCUUUUCUAGCCAGUCAGAGGCGAGGAGGUGGGACUUUCCCCUACCCUCCUACAAAAAAACAUAUUGCCUCUCGGGUGAGCUACGCGAUCUUCGUACACCCAUAGGCUGUAUCAAGUCUCACAGUGUCAUAGAAAACAUGAACCCCCUGAUAACUUUUAAAAUUUUCUUCUGCUUUGUGCCGAUAAUAAUUUUUCUGUACAGAAAAAAGAGGACUUGAGCACAAACCAGUCUCACAGUAAAUACAUGUCAACAUCACAAGCAGGGGGGAGAAAAAUGUAUAUUCUGUGUAAUAAAUUUCCAAAGUUUGUCCACAGCUCUAUAAGUUUUGCAGGCGGAGGCGGGAUUUAUGACCUAUACUGCAGCCCGUCACCAGAGGGUGCUGUUCUCGGAGUGGCUUCACCCAUAGAGGAGGCAGACUCUGUCCAUUCUCCAUACAGUCUAUGGUUUAGAGAUGAGGGUUUCAAAUCCAAUCAGUGAUUCCCACUGCAGAGUCUUGGCUGUUUUAAAUGCAGCGCUGCCUGAGGGCUUGCAGCUCAAGGCUGACCAGUAUUGAUUUUGGUCCUCAACCCUUUUGGACAGUUUCUCCACAUUCUCUGAGUCUUUUAAUGUUAUUACUGUAGAAAUCUUUUUUUCUCUUUCUGGCUGUUUUUCUUAAAAGUUCAACUCUGAAUCACAUUUUCUUCAUUUUCUUUCUCAUCCAGACACAGUUUGCUUUUUUAUCUAUUCAAUGAACUCACUGUUGGGUGUGGGCAUCCAACGAUAAAUGUGAGUGUGAAAAGUUUUUUUUUCUCUCUUACUGUUUGUCUUCUUCAUGGAGUCUGUGCUAAGGAUCACUGAAUAAAUGAUGGUUGACUCUCAGCAUGAAGCUGCAUAUGUGUGUGCUUCGCUCUCAUGAAAUGAAGCAGAGCCUCACUCUGACAUCUGCUUUAAAAGACCGCGGUUCCUCUGAUUCUCCACAUGAACCUCCUAACAGAUUAAUGAGCUGCUUUGUUGUUCACAGCUCCUUCAGUCCUCCUACCUGACGAGUGUGUGAGAUGAAAAGCAAAGAGAGAAACAGGAGCAUGCAGCUGUAAGUGCUGCUGCUGAUCUAAUCAGACUGUGGAGUGAGAUACCAAAAGCAGAUCCAGAGCUCACCGUGUGGUCAGAGGAUGAUGUCAGAGUAAAUACUGUAAACCUGUUACCUACAUGAAUAGGACAUGAUGUACACUUGAAUAUUUAAAGAAGCAUGUUCAUAUAUCAAAAGAUUUAUUCAAGUACUUUAUCGUAGUUCUGGAUCAGUAUGUUUGUGAUCAUCAGCCUCAAAGUUUACAGAUCUAAAUAAUCGUUCUCACACUUUUAUGGGAUCAAACUCAACUACAAACAACAAUUCUAAGUGGAUUUCUAUUUUUAGUCGUUUUUGCACGAUCUAUUUGUCCCCCUGAGGGCAGGAUGAAGAAUGUGAACGUGACAAAGUACAUGGUGUACAAACAUAGACUGUAUAUAGAAUGGACAGCGUCUGUCUCCUUGCUGUGUGAAGCCCCCCUGAGAACAGUACCCACUGGUGACGGGCUGCAGUAUAGGUCAUAAAUCCCGCCUCCUCCAGCAAUCCCUAUGGAGCUGUGGACAAACUUUAGACAUUUAUUAUACAGAACAUACAUUUUUCUCCCCACUGCUUGCGAUGUUGACAUGUAGUUACUGUCAGACUGGUUUGUGUUCAAGUCCUCUUUUUUUCUGUACAGCUCAAUUUUUACCCGGGGGAUACGCUCUUUGAGCCGAGUGUCAUCACAGCGACUCUCGGCGACUCACCUGCCAGAUGGUGGAAGGCAGAACAAAGUUGUCCAUAAUAUACAGUCUACAGAGCUGCCAAGCAUCACUCUUUAAGUGCGAGAGUCACGCAAUUUGACCCAUUCUCACACCACACGCCACACUUGACAUUUCUCACACUGAUAUUCCCCCAUUGCAUGGAGGUGAGGACAUCAGUCUUAAGGUAUAAAUCCUCGUUAAAAAAGUUUAACAAUUUUUCGCCGCCAGCCGAACACAUCAUAACGUUAAAGUCUCACUCUUAUAAUUUUCUACAACUUGGCAGCCAUACAGUCUAUGUGUGCAAGUAAUGCAACCCUAUAAGAUUCUUGAACUUUAAGACUUCUUUCAUGUUUUCUUUCUUUCUUAAAGGAUCAAUAUAUUACAUCUCAACUUAUUUAUCUAAUAUACCAUCAACAGUUUAUGCCCAAUACUCUCCAGAACUCUUGACAGUUAACUACUGCUAGGAUACUCUUCUGAUGUAGGUUUUUUUUUACAGAAACUGUACAAAGACAUCACUCAUUCAUAACAGUUUCUAAUGAGAGUAAGUUCAACAUCAUUAUUUUACUGUUGAUGGAAAAUCUGACCCUUAUGAUCCAGAAAGUAAUGAUUAAUCCUGGGUUUGUAAAUUAGAUUUUAAUCUUAGAGAUUAAGAAAAGCAUCUUUUGCAUCUUUAAUUUCCUUUUUUUCUUUGGACUCUUUUGUUUUAAUUUUUUUUUUUUUACACAGUCAUUAAUCCAAGUUUGAGUUGUAACCGUUUACUCACAGCUCAUCAGGGGCCAGAGGAAACAGCCCACCACCUCCACCCCCUCUCUCUCUGGAGGAUUGAUUUCACUUCAUAAAUCGAGUGAACACUCAGUUCAUAUCAACAAACAAAGCUUUCAAUGCUGCAGGCUGUUAUCAGCAUCAUGGGAAUUCAAUCAGCUAGAGAUAGUGACUUUUUUUACAACAUUUAUUUCGCUGAGAAUACUCUGAAUUUUGAUUUUAGGAUAUAAAAAUGUGUUUGUUAAUAAUCUCUGACUUUGUUUUGAAUCCUUGACAUGACCUCUUUAAAAAGUAGGCUCCUCAGUCAGUGUGUGCAGGUUACUUAUUUAUACAUGCACGUACACAGAUGUGUCAAUUAUUCAUAGAUGUUUAUUAUUGACUAUGUACCAUAUGUUCUCACAUGUGCGCACAUGAUCCUCGAAGGAUGUUGCAAUACAGGAAAGAAACUUAUUAUUGGAAAUAAAUUAAUCAAAUGAUGAUUACAGAAGUAGAGUAGAUGAUGAAAGCUUUGAGUUACGAGGAAAGCCAACGCUAAUAAGUUUACUUGAGUUGACUGUGCUUUAUGUUGUCAUGUGAGACAUGCAGUUUAACAUGGGUCUGUCUGUGUGACAAAUAGCUGAGGAUUUAUUCAUUGGACAUGGAGGAGGCAGCUGAAGGAUGAGCCAGUGAUUGAUCACUUGGAUCGUUAUGAAGAGUUUAUCACUGCAGUCGCUCCGCUCUAAUGAGAAACGUCCACCCGACAAACAAAUAAAGAUGAUUAACACCGGGCUCAGCUUCAUACACUAACAUCCUCAAAACAUCAGGGGGGCUCUAAAUUUCUGUCUGUGCAGGGGAACUGCAAAUCAGAUCUUGGGGUCAAACAUACUAAAGUAUUAAUUCUUUCCUUCCAGCUUCUCCAUGUGGAGGUCAGGUUUAGAGGCUUUAGGAAGAUAUUUCUGGCUUAAAGAGAAUUAAAAGACUCAGUUUCUGUAGUGAAAUUUAUAACUUUACCCUCAGACGCAGGAGACUUAGGAGACUCCGAUAACUUUAACUGAGAUAGUUUAUGUAAAACAUGAUUAAUAAAAAUAACGCAGGGUGGCCGACAAGGGCAAACGAUAUGAACAGCCUGAACAAUCUUCAAGAGAAACACACCACAAAUGCAGAAAGACACAACCUCAAAACGGCUUGUAAAAGUCCAAAACAAACAGGACAGAGGAAACCUGAAGCAAAUUAAUGCCCCUCAACAGAUGUUUCUUGACAGCAGGAACUUUAUCCUAGAACUAAGGACCUUUUGAGGAACCAAGUGCGUCUGUUAUGCAGGAACUCUCGGGUCUUAAAUUAGUUGAUUCACCCCUAAAGUAGCUGCGUUUACAUGGGCACAAAUCUUCGGAAUAAAUGCUUGAUCGGAAUAAAAAUGCGUCAUGUAAACAUGUCGAUCAGAAGAUUCUGAUCCAAUUCAGCUCAAUCGGAAAGAAAUUGUAUUCCAAUCGAGAGGGGUGGAUUAUGUCGUUAUUCCGAAACGCGUCCAUGUAAACACUUAUUACUCUUCACUCUUUAUUUGUUGAGGCCAGUACAGGAGGUUUCAUUAUUAACACUCUUGCAUAAAACACAACCGUAUGUGCCGUGUCUACUCCUCUGGUAACAUAACAAGGUGUACAUACAGCGUAAUGACGUCACAUCUGCACGCGCAGUGCAACCUUUGACAGAACAGUAAAAUAAGUAUGUAAGGGCGCCAUCUAGUGACAACAUUUAACAUGGGGAAAACUCCUGAACUGGAUGGAGUAAGGCACUACCGCGUUUGUUGGUUUGUUGACAGCACAGGCGUAAAUACAACUCUUCUUCUGCGUUUUUUUUAGUAAAAUCAGACAAGUCUGCGUAUGUCCAAAUGCUUCUAAUCUGAACGAAACUUGGUGCAUAUAUACGCACGUCAUGAUCGGAUUAUUUAUUUCGUACCCUUAUAAACAGUGGAUUCAGAUUAUUGGAUCCCUCAAAUUUUUAAUCAGAUCAAGAAGUUUUGCACAUGUAAACGCAGCUAGUGCCCCUUAUCAAUGGGACAGUACUUUCUAAUGGCCUCUUGACUUUGAAGGGCAGGGUCUAAAAGCUCAUUGAAUCAGCAUCUGAACUUUUUGAAAACACAGCAGUUUGGAGGCUUUACUUUCUACACUUUACCAUGAGAGAGUAGCCAAAAUUUGGUGUAAGCUCAUGGUAUUGUCCACCCCUAAAAAAAAUCAGUGCCCCAGUUUGGCCACCCCAGUGACAAGCUCCUGGUUCUGCCAUCGCAGAGUAAUCUUAAAGUGGAUUUAACAGAUAGGAAGUCUAAAACUCACAUCUUUGAAAAUACUGAGUUUCUAUCACAGCUUCUGAUAUUUAAAAAGGAGGCUACUCUCGACACAAACUGGAGCUGAGUGGAGUCUAAAUGACUCAUCUUCCUAGUAUAAACAAACACUUCCAGCGGACUAGCUCUGAUCUUUAAGACUUGUUUUAAGAUGAUCAUUACAGAUCACGUUGCAGACUUUACAGCCUGUUUUACUGCUGCAGGCUAAAGAAAUCUACAAAAAUCUUCAAACAUCUUUAUUACAACACAAACUGUGCAUACUGAAAAGGGAGGAAAGUACACUUGUUUCUUUUCAGUACAAACAUCCAAAACCACAAUGUCACCCGGGUUUAAUUAACACUUCUCACAACACUGUUAUUGUGAGAACAACACUGGACUCAAACAGAUCUCUGUUUUUUAACUAGUUUUGGUUUUAAAUAUAUUUAAGGUUCAUAAAAAACUAAAAUGAACUAACAGUCGUGUUUUCAUCACAGUAGAGGAUCUUCACUUUUGGGGAUCAAAUUACCUUGAAAAUAAUCUGCGAAUAGGGGAGUGUUUUUAGCAGAUUUUAUCAAAAGUUAAUUUCCUCCUGUUGGGAAACUUAAAGAAACAUCACCUUUAUGCUGCUUUUCACCACAGCAGCAGAUGUUUUGCAGAGGAUCCUUGUCUCUGUGUUUGAUAUAAACUUGAUAUCAUAUGUAAUAUUCAUGACGCCCUCCUCUCUGUUUCUGUGGGGGUUGAAAUAUAAAGCUGGAGUGUAUGAAGUGAGAAGGUACGGCGGCUGAGAGGCUGGCACUGCUCUACAACAAAACAUACCCCGGAUUAAAAAUAACAAGCUGACAUGGACGAGUGUCAUUGUUCAGCUGCAUUCAGAGCACAACAAAGGAUGGAGGUAGAGACAGGAUGGCUCUUGAUCUAAUUGGACCGUGAUGAUUAAAUCCUGAAUGUAAUUAUGAUAAUUACGAUCCACUUUCAGACACUUCAUGGCAUGACUGCUGGCAGGGAUUCAAACUGAAAUACAUCAUACAGACUGACUUCAACCUGUGCUGAAUAAUGAACAAAAUAAACUAUCAAUGACAUUCUUUGCAUUUUAAAAUUAAAUAUUUAACACUUUCCCAUGAGAUGAUAUUCUUCUAUUGUGUUUCUUAUAUGUGCGUUUGCUUUGCUUUACUUUAGCAAACACCCUGACCUAUUAGCCUUAAUAUUACAUUGGUUUAAUAUACUUUAGGGUUGUCUGAUGUUUUAAAUGAGUUUAUUUACUCAUUUAUUUGUUUAGGUUUUUAUCUAUAAUGCAGAUUUUUGUCCUGUUUUAUUAUUCUGUCUGGAUUUUUAGUGUUCUAUCCUUUGGUGUUUUAUUCUCCCAUCUUGUAUUUUCUAUGGUAUGUUUUAUUUGCUUAUUUAUUUAGAUUUGACUGUUUUUUUAAUAUUAUUUAUUAUGGCAUUUAAUUAAUUUAUUUAUGUUCUCAAUCUGCUAUUUUGAAUUUUAAAAUUUCAAUUAAUUUAUCAUUAUUUUUAUUGUAUAUUUGUUGUGCUGCCCCAGAAGUAGUUUGUUGUAUUUUAUUAUUAUUAUUAUUAUUAUUAUUUUAUGAAUUGAUUUUAUUUGUGGUCUGCUUGUCUUAAACCUUUCAUGACUCAGGGUUUUGAAUGGUUUUAAUAGUUGAGCUACAUCUCAUUGUAUGAAAAGUGCUGCACAAAUAAAGUCUGAUAAUUGAUCAUUAAUCUGUCUUUUGUGGCCUAAAUAAAUCCACUGUUUCUGUGUAAGGCCAUCUCUUUAUCGCUACCAAAGUGGCUGUUGGAGUCUCCACAAAACACAAUUUCUCCUUCGCUCAGAGAUCUUGAAUGAUGUCCAACAAAUUAGUUAAGAAGUCCUUACCAUGACCAUCUCUCAACUUAACUAAGAACUUUUGUUGCUUCAAUUAAAACCAAACUUUUUGAGCGUAAUAUAUAUUCACAUGCAUGUGGAGAAAAAGAGGAAAAUGGUGUCUCUUUGUGGACUCUUUGCAUUCAUAAACUGACCUUUCAGGAGGUACCUGGUUCAGAGAAGGUCAAAGCUAAAAUAUUGAGUUCAGUAUGUCCUGUGAGGAUGCAGCUCCAGACACAAAGUGACCGUCUCUUUGAAGAAUCACCGCACUUGUUGACACUUUAGAUAGACUCACAAUUCUGAGGACACACGGAGCUGCUGCAUUGUUUUUUUUUUUGCCGUCUCAUGCUGGUUCACAGGUCUGCCUGCUGCAGCCAUUUAUUCAGGUAUUCAAUGUGAGUCCAGGACACAUGGCGAGCGCUGGAAGUUCGGUGCAGCCUCCGAGGUAAAAAGAUUAAAGAUAGCACUUUGAAAAGGUCAGUCUGACCGAGAUAUCUGCUCUGAUCAGCCCUGAGUGAGUCUUCAUCUGCAUAAAGCUAAAAAUAGAAAACUCGUGCAGAGAGCGAAGAGGCUGAGCUCUCGGGGGACCGGCUACUCUGGAGGAAAGGUGAAAGACAAGGUGUUAGUUUUGUAUCCUCUCUGCUACACAACACAGAUCCUGUCAGGUUAUUUAAGUACUCAGACUCUCAAGAUUUACGGUCGUCUAGGAAACCUUUCAAAGAUGUAAGAACCUAAAUUUGAAAUCUGGGUGUAUGGGUUUGUUUUUGAUUGUUCAAAGAGUCAGAAGAGCAGAUUUUACCUGGAUACAGCAGGUUAGAGUAGAACAGGUGUGAGCAGACUUAAAGCAUUUCUCCACAGUGCUGUAGGCCAGUCUGUGCCCUUUAAUUCAAAGAGCAUUUAAGAAUGAAGGCCUGCUCUCCUGAGCUGGAUCAGUGCAUGUGCAGUCUGAUUUUUUUCCUACUGAUGCCUGCAGGCGUAAAUUGCAAAGCUCUUUAUUUGAUAUUACCACUUGUAAUUAUAGUUGUCAUUAGUCACAAUGGCUGCAGGUAAACUAAUUAUGUUAAAGACCCACUCUGAUGAAAAUCGUGUUUUUCUUGUCUUUUAUGUGUGCAUAUGGCAUUUUUCUGAUGCUACAGGACGUAUCAUGAGAAAACUAAAAGCGAAAUUGCUUUUCUGAGUAUUUCUC